rnacentral:rRNA from 1 species
CCUACGGGAGGCAGCAGUGGGGAAUAUUGGACAAUGGGGGGAACCCUGAUCCAGCGACGCCGCGUGAGUGAAGAAGUAUUUCGGUAUGUAAAGCUCUAUCAGCAGGGAAGAAAGGAAUGACGGUACCUGACUAAGAAGCCUCGGCUAACUACGUGCCAGCAGCCGCGGUAAU